GACGAACGCUGGCGGCGUGCUUAACACAUGCAAGUCGAACGAAGUGGCGAACGGGUGAGUAACGCGUAAUCAACCUGCCCUUCAGAGGGGGACAACAGUUGGAAACGACUGCUAAUACCGCAUACUGAAGGAGGGGAUUGCGUGUGAUUAGCUAGUUGGAGGGGUAAAGGCCCACCAAGGCGAGGGUCAGUAGCCGGUCGGAGAGGAGUAACGGCCACAUUGUGACUGAGAACCGGCCCAUACUCCUACGGGAGGCAGCAGUGGGGAAUCUGCCGCAAUGGACGAAAGUCUGACGGAGCAACGCCGCGUGAGUGAUGCCGGCCUUCGGGUUGUAAAGCUCUUUUAAUCGGGACGCGGUACCGGAAUAGAAAGCCACGGCUAACUACGUGCCAGCAGCCGCGGUAAUAC
rnacentral:rRNA from 1 species